ACUUUAGAUCAACUACUGCAACAAUUUAUUGUGAGUGCUAAUGUACCAUUUAGAAUUAUUGAAAAUCCAGUUUUAAAGGAAAUAAUUUCUGAAGGUUUUCCAAACAAAAAAAUUAUUUCUCGGCUUACAUUAUUGAAAAAAAUUGAGUGAUUUUCAAGAAUUAUCCUUACAAAUGAAAUUUGAGAUGUCCAAAUGUCCCCAUAUUGCUAUGGUUGCAUACGGUUGGUCGAUUUUUAAAAAAUCAUACAUUGGAAUAACUGUCAUGUGGAUUAAUGAACAUUUUUCAAGAAGUACUCGUAUUUUAGCAUUGAAUUGACUAGAAGGUUCACAUACGUUUGAUAUAUUAGCCAAAGCUAUGGAUGCAGUAUACAUUCAGUUUGAGAUUUCAGAAUAUCUGGUCAUAUAUUUGGUAAUGAAAAUGCUGAAAGUUUUAUUAGAUUACCAGUGAACGAUUCAAUAAAUGAAGAUUUAGAAGAAAUUGAUGUAAUAAACUUGAACAUUCUAAAUGAUGAAGACAAUGAUUUUGAUUUGCAAUAUACUUUACUUAAACACCAUCGAUGAUGUACACAUACAAUUAA